GGAGGGUGUCGGCAUGUGGUCCCGCCUGUCGCGGCGGCCGGGCUGCUAUCGUCAACGUGGAGCUGGUCGUGUGUGGCUUGGGGCCUGGUUGUGCAGUUACCCAGCGCACACUUACACAUCAAAUUGGGUAAGGUACUUGCUUCUACAACUGGACCAAAGAUGGACUGCUAACUACCAUUUUUACUGCCAAACUGCAUGCCAAACUUCAUUCAUAUGGAAAUAUCCAGAAAAAGGAAUUAGCACAGAGUUCUCUGAGCACUGGUAUUAAUGACAUUUCCUACAGAUUUGUACCUUGUGAAUAAACUCUGGUGUGUAGGAAGGAAUAAAGUCAUGGGGAAGAUAGAUUGUUUUAGGGCUGAGAUAUUCAGAGCAUCUCUCCUCACACAUCUGUAGCACUCAGUAAAUGUUUUAUACUUUCACACUGCGCUCUUUUCCUGUGUAGGGACACUAUUAAAAUAUCUCUGGCCUAUAUGCCCACUUUCAUUAAAUUCGCAAAAAACUGUUGAGACAUUUGUCUCUCUGCCAAAUAUGGCUGAAAUUGAAGGAAGAGCUAAAAACUAUUAACAGAGGUUAAGGAAGGUGACUAGACAGAUGCAUUCUUUGAACAGACCACCAUAACUAUUCACAAACACACGGUAAGGCACUCUGAUUUGGUGGUCCCCAGAAGGUAAUGUGUGCUCUGGAAACUUUCCCUGAAGAACUCUGGCUCUCAUGGUAAUGGGUGAUUAUUGUUGUUUGUUUUUUUUUUAAUUCACAUGACAAUUGUGCAAUAUAAUAGAAAUAAAAAUUUGUAUAUUACAGAUACGACAUGGCAUAGUCAUGCUUUUCUAAUUGCGAAAUGUAAACAAAAGAUGACUGUGAAAUUAGAAUGAAAAUAAAAAUGAAGAGAA